GUUGUCGGAUUCACUUCAAUCCAUGUGUGUUGAUGUGGAUUGGGGUGGAAUUUAGUUCAAGUUCUACUCUAAUCCACCUCAACACAUGUGGAUUGAUGUGAAUCCGACU
rfam:Sorghum bicolor cultivar BTx623 chromosome 3, whole genome shotgun sequence.